UCAUCAGUGUGUGAGGUGUCCUCUGUGUGUGUGUCUCGUAUACGUGAGGAUGAAAACCAGGGGAAGGGAAAAAUUGAAGCUUGCGAUGUGAUUUUUAAGGUGUUAUCAAGUAAUAAUUAAUUCCUAGUUCAAGAUUUGAUGAGGUGACAAAAGGAUGGAUUAAGAAGAAUAGACCAAGAUUUCCACAAUUCUGUUAACGGUUUUCAAAAAGGUGAGGAACGGAUAGAAUAGAAUAAUAGGUUACUUAAUACGGGAUCGAUCUAGAUAUCUCUCGUAUGGGUAUGCCAUAUGUUGUUUAUAUUUGAAUGCAUAAAAUUACAAGAAAUUAUAGAAUAGAAUAAUGGAUAGUACUCAGAAUGCAUAUAGACAUGUAUGAGGGUACGUAUCUAUUAUAUAUAGAAGGUAAUCCCAAUGGGAUCGAUCUA